rnacentral:lncRNA from 1 species
UGGCAGAAUCCAGAUUGGAGGCAAAGAUGGCGGUGGAAAUCGUGGACUCCGUACAGAAGUAUAUUUAUCUAACUAAUUAGUACUCCUUCACUUUUAAAAUAAAUGUCUUAGGCUUAGUAUGAUUUUAUAUAAAGUUAAUAUAAAGUUGAGACAGUUAUUUUAAGACAGAGAUUACUAUUUACAAAUGAAUAUUAGGCUGACCAUAGUGAAGAAUAUCAUAUAGUAGUAUCAUGCAUAUGAUACUAUUGCAUGAUACUAUCUCCAUAAUGCAAGUAUCAUAAAGUAGUAUGAUAGAUGACCUCAUUUAUUGACAUGCAUGACACAUAGUAGCAAAACAUUUAACAUGUUACGGUAUCUACAUAUGUUACUACUCUAACCCUCUCUCUCAUCUUUAAUUGUGUGCCACAUAAUCAUGUUUGCUAGUCUCAAGUACAUGAUACUACCUAAGUUAGGGGGUGCUUGGAUCCAAGAGACUAAAACUAGUCUGACUAAAAAUAGUAUCUUUAAGAGGCUAAAGUUCCAAACACGCCUGACUAAAGAGAGACUAAAACUAGUCUUGAGGCUAAAAUCUUUUAGUUAGGGUAACCCUACUAAAAUGUGGAUUAGUCCUCUCUCUCCUCAUUUAACUCCCCUCCUUUAACACAUGCGAGUUCUAGAUUGAAGGGUUUGAAGGAUAAUAAAUGCUAAUUAACUUGAUUUUAGUCUCCUUAGUAUUUGGAUCCAAGCAUGGGUGAGGCUAACAAGUUUUAGUCCCACUACUUUUAAUUAUGGGACUACAACGUAUCCAAGCACCCUUUUACUUCCACUAUGGCCAGCCUUAUGACUGAUGGUGUGUAUGAUUACUAAUUGGGCGCUGAAUUGGGCGAUGCAGGGAAGUGGAGAAGCUGAAGGGGUGGACUGGGGAAAUGCAGGAAAGAAUCGACUCGUCUAAAAGUCUCCGGUGCUUCGUGUGGUGGUCCGGCGCCCUCGCCGCAAUGACUUAUUGUGUUACUCAUUACUUGUGAUUUGGACUUGAGCCGAGGGCCGCCUGCUAGCUUUGUUGGUGCCGUGAGACGGUGAGAGACAUAGGUAGUAGUAGAUCGCUCGAUCGAUCGGGAUAUACAUACUUUGUGUUUGAACUCAGUAUUGCCAGUUUUGUUAAGGUCGUCGCGCUUCUUCAGUUCCAGAUAUUGGUUCCUUGUUUUUGACAUAGCUCGCCAUUCAUGCUGAGUGGUUUGAUAUCACU